rnacentral:rRNA from 1 species
AUUGAACGCUGGCGGCAGGCCUAACACAUGCAAGUCGACCGAAUGGCGGACGGGUGAGUAAUGUCUGGGAAACUGCCUGAUGGAGGGGGAGCACUACUGGAAACGGUAGCUAUUCCGGCAUACCAUCGGAUGUGCCCAGAUGGGAUUAGCUAGUAGGUGGGGUAAAGGCUCACCUAGGAGACGAUCCCUAGCUGGUCGCAGAGGAUGACCGGCCACACUGGAACUGAGACACGGUCCAGACGCCUACGGGAGGCAGCAGUGGGGAAUAUUGCACAAUGGGCGCAAGCCUGAUGCAGCCAUGCCGCGUGUAUGAAGAAGGCCUUCGGGGUGUAAAGUACUUUCAGCAGGGAGGCGUUACCCGCAGAAGAAGCACCGGCUAACUCCGUGCCAGCAGCCGCGGUAAUUC